UUGUAUAUUUUUUUUGGAGCUUAUGUAUAAUUCUAAACUUGUAUUAUAACUUCACUCGUUGUACAUGUCACAAUUCUUUGGAUGACUUGUGCUUUAAAUUCAUGUCUUCAAAUCAUUUGGCUUCCCUUAUGUAGUGUUUUAGAGACUUGGCCAAACUUGAGACAUGUUGUAAUUAUGGUUAAAUUGGAAACUUUGGUUGAAUAGAAAUUGGCUUUCAAGAUUUA
rnacentral:lncRNA from 1 species